GAUGAACGCUGGCGGCGUGCCUAAUACAUGCAAGUCGAGCGAACAGAUGAGGAGCUUGCUCCUCUGACGUUAGCGGCGGACGGGUGAGUAACACGUGGAUAACCUACCUAUAAGACUGGGAUAACUUCGGGAAACCGGAGCUAAUACCGGAUAAAAUAUUGAACCGCAUGGUUCAAUAGUGAAAGACGGUUUUGCUGUCACUUAUAGAUGGAUCCGCGCCGCAUUAGCUAGUUGGUAAGGUAACGGCUUACCAAGGCAACGAUGCGUAGCCGACCUGAGAGGGUGAUCGGCCACACUGGAACUGAGACACGGUCCAGACUCCUACGGGAGGCAGCAGUAGGGAAUCUUCCGCAAUGGGCGAAAGCCUGACGGAGCAACGCCGCGUGAGUGAUGAAGGUCUUCGGAUCGUAAAACUCUGUUAUUAGGGAAGAACAAAUGUGUAAGUAACUAUGCACGUCUUGACGGUACCUAAUCAGAAAGCCACGGCUAACUACGUG
rnacentral:rRNA from 1 species